rnacentral:rRNA from 1 species
GAGGAAUAAGCAUCGGCUAACUCCGUGCCAGCAGCCGCGGUAAUACGGGGGAUGCAAGCGUUAUCCGGAAUCAUUGGGCGUAAAGCGCCUGUAGGUUGUUUAUUAAGUCUGUUGUUAAAGACUAGGGCUUAACCCUAGGAAAGCAAGAGAAACUAAUAGACUUGAGUAUGGCAGGGGUAGAGGGAAUUUCUAGUGUAGCGGUGAAAUGCGUAGAUAUUAGAAAGAACACCGGCGGCGAAAGCGCUCUACUGGACCAUUACUGACACUCAGAGGCGAAAGCUAGGGUAGCAAAAGGGAUUAGAUACCCCUGUAGUCCUAGCCGUAAACGAUGGAUACUAGAUGUUGUAUUUAUUUUACAGUAUCGUAGCUAACGCGUUAAGUAUCCCGCCUGGGGAGUACGCUCGCAAGGGUGAAACUCAAAGGAAUUGACGGGGGCCCGCACAAGCGGUGGAGCAUGUGGUUUAAUUCGAUGCAACGCGAAGAACCUUACCAGGGCUUGACAUACUACGAAUCUUCUUGAGAGAGAAGAGUGCCUUCGGGAAUGUAGAUACAGGUGGUGCAUGGCUGUCGUCAGCUCGUGUCGUGAGAUGUUGGGUUAAGUCCCGCAACGAGCGCAACCCUUAUUUUUAGUUACCAAUUCGUUGGGUUCUCUAGAAAGACUGCCGGUGACAAACCGGAGGAAGGUGAGGAUGACGUCAAGUCAGCAUGCCCCUUAUGUCCUGGGCUACACACGUGCUACAAUGGGUAGGACAAAGAGUCGCAAGUUUGUAAAAACAAGCUAAUCUCGUAAACCUAUCCCAAGUUCAGAUUGUAGGCUGCAACUCGCCUGCGUGAAG